rnacentral:rRNA from 1 species
CCUACGGGAGGCAGCAGUGAGGAAUAUUGGUCAAUGGACGAGAGUCUGAACCAGCCAAGUAGCGUGAAGGAUGACUGCCCUAUGGGUUGUAAACUUCUUUUAUAUGGGAAUAAAAUGUUCCACGUGUGGGAUUUUGUAUGUACCAUAUGAAUAAGGAUCGACUAACUCCGUGCCAGCAGCCGCGGUAAUACGGAGGAUCCGAGCGUUAUCCGGAUUUAUUGGGUUUAAAGGGAGCGUAGGUGGAUUGUUAAGUCAGUUGUGAAAGUUUGCGGCUCAACCGUAAAAUUGCAGUUGAAACUGGCAGUCUUGAGUACAGGAGAGGUGGGCGGAAUUCGGGGUGUAGCGGUGAAAUGCUUAGAUAUCACGAAGAACUCCGAUUGCGAAGGCAGUUCACUGGACUGCAACUGACACUGAGGCUCGAAAGUGUGGGUAUCAAACAGGAUUAGAUACCCCUGUAGUC